CUGCCGGAGGCUACUGCUAUUGGGAUUCGACUAAGCCAUGCGAGUCAAGGUGUCUUCGGACGCCGGCAUACGGCUCAGUAACACGUAGGUAACCUACCCUUUAGGACUGGGAUAACUCCGGGAAACUGGGGCUAAUACCAGAUAGAUAAAAGAUACUGGAAUGUUCUUUUAUCCAAAGCUUUUGUGCCUAAGGAUGGGCCUGCGUCCGAUUAGGUUGUUGGUGGGGUAAUGGCCCACCAAGCCUGCGAUCGGUACGGGCAGUGGGAGCUGUAGCCCGGAGUUGGGGACUGAGACAAGGCCCCAGGCCCUACGGGGCGCAGCAGGCGCGAAACCUCUGCAAUGCGGGAAACCGUGACAGGGGGAUCCCAAGUGCUCAUGCAUUGCAUGGGCUGUUCUUUGGUCUAAGUAACCAGAGGAGUAAGGGCUGGGCAAGACCGGUGCCAGCCGCCGCGGUAAUACCGGCAGCUCGAGUGGUAGCCGCGAUUAUUGGGCCUAAAGCGUUCGUAGCCGGAUAAGUAAGUCUUUGGUUAAAUCCUGCGACUUAACCGUGGGAAAUCUAGAGAUACUGCUUGUCUUGAGACCGGGAGAGGUUGGAGGUACUCCUAGGGUAGGGGUGAAAUCCUGUAAUCCUAGGGGGACCACCUGUGGCGAAGGCGUCCAACUGGAACGGGUCUGACGGUGAGGGACGAAACCUAGGGGAGCGAGCCGGAUUAGAUACCCGGGUAGUCCUAGGCGUAAAUGAUGCGAGUUAAGUGUGGGGGCAUCUACGAGAUGGCCCUGUGCUGUAGGGUAGCCGUUAAACUCGCCGCCUGGGGAGUACGGUCGCAAGGCUGAAACUUAAAGGAAUUGGCGGGGGAGCACCACAAGAGGUGGAGGCUGCGGUUCAAUUGGAUUCAACGCCGGG
rnacentral:rRNA from 1 species